AUGAUAAAACGACAAAAUUCUUGAAUUUACCAUACCCAACUAAUUUCAUUGACCCUUCUAAUUGUUAAGAAACUUUGAUAAGACGACAAACUUUUAGUAUUCGUUUCCCAUUGAGAAGAAUUUCUCGAUCUUCUUGCAGGUAGAAAAAAUCUUCGUCCUUUAAAAUAUACGUGAGACUUACUUAGAUCGUUUGAGUUUGAAGAAAGACGGUCAAACGUUAGACCACAGCCUAGAGUUUUGGAAGCUCGUCAGAGGAUAUCACGAGGCGAUCGUGCGAGACGCAAAACAGAGUCGUUUCGCGAAAAUCCCUGAAGCGUGUCAUUCGAACUUUAGGGCAUUUGUGUGUACCGGAAGAGGCAUCCCCGGAAUAUCCGAUCCACCGUCAACGUAGAGGGAAAAUGCCGAACACACGCGCUCCUCAAAGUGAAUAAGAGUGAGCAAGCGAGAGUGAGAGUGAAGGCUUAACAUGGUGUCAAUCCGAGGGUGCAAAAGAUACCCCGCAUCAGACUGGUACCAUUGGUUUACACAUACAUUCUUAUUUUAUUUAUUAUAUGUAAAUGCGAUAAUCAAUAUAUAAUUUUACACUCGGAAAUACCCUUCUCUCGAGUGCAUCCGAUUAUUAAUAUGUGAUAUUAAAAAUAUGAGGUUUGUUAUAAAUAAAACGACAUCUGAUUUAUAUGCAGAACUAGUCGAGCUGUAUAAACAAUAAAAAAAAAUUAUUACAACACAUAAUGUUUUA